CGGAGGAGCUAGCGUUAUUCGGAAUUACUGGGCGUAAAGCGCACGUAGGCGGCUUUGUAAGUUAGAGGUGAAAGCCUGGAGCUCAACUCCAGAAUUGCCUUUAAGACUGCAUCGCUUGAAUCCAGGAGAGGUGAGUGGAAUUCCGAGUGUAGAGGUGAAAUUCGUAGAUAUUCGGAAGAACACCAGUGGCGAAGGCGGCUCACUGGACUGGUAUUGACGCUGAGGUGCGAAAGCGUGGGAGCAAACAGGAUU
rnacentral:rRNA from 1 species